AUUGAACGCUGGCGGCAGGCUUAACACAUGCAAGUCGAGCGAGCGGCGGACGGGUGAGUAAUGUCUGGGCAACUGCCUGAUGGAGGGGGAUAACUACUGGAAACGGUAGCUAAUACCGCAUACCAUCAGAUGUGCCCAGGUGGGAUUAGCUAGUAGGUGGGGUAAAGUCUCACCUAGGCCACGAUCCCUAGCUGGUUGGAGAGGAGGACCAGCCAAACUGGAACUGAGACACGGUCCAGACUCCUACGGGAGGCAGCAGUGGGGAAUAUUGGACAAUGGGCGCAAGCCUGAUGCAGCCAUGCGGCGUGUGUGAAGAAGGCCUUCGGGUUGGAAAGCACUUUCAGCGAGGAGGCGUUACUCGCAGAAGAAGCACCGGCUAACUCCGUGCCAGCAGCCGCGGUAAUUC
rnacentral:rRNA from 1 species